AACGCUGGUCGGCGUGCCUAAUACAUGCAAGUCAAGCGGACAGAUGGGGAGCUUGCUCCCUGAUGUUAGCGGCGGACGGGUGAGUAACACGUGGGUAACCUGCCUGUAAGACUGGGAUAACUCCGGGAAACCGGGGCUAAUACCGGAUGGUUGUCUGAACCGCAUGGUUCAGACAUAAAAGGUGGCUUCGGCUACCACUUACAGAUGGACCCGCGGCGCAUUAGCUAGUUGGUGAGGUAACGGCUCACCAAGGCGACGAUGCGUAGCCGACCUGAGAGGGUGAUCGGCCACACUGGGACUGAGACACGGCCCAGACUCCUACGGGAGGCAGCAGUAGGGAAUCUUCCGCAAUGGACGAAAGUCUGACGGAGCAACGCCGCGUGAGUGAUGAAGGUUUUCGGAUCGUAAAGCUCUGUUGUUAGGGAAGAACAAGUGCCGUUCAAAUAGGGCGGCACCUUGACGGUACCUAACCACCA
rnacentral:rRNA from 1 species